GAUCAACGCUGGCGGCGUGCUUAACACAUGCAAGUCGAACGAAGUUUUUCCUUCGGGAGAAACUUAGUGGCGGACGGGUGAGUAACGCGUGGGUAACCUGCCCUGUACAGGGGGACAACAGCUGUAAACGGCUGCUAAUACCGCAUAAGCCCUUAGCACUGCAUGGUGCAUAGGGAAAAGGAGCAAUCCGGUACAGGAUGGACCCGCGUCUGAUUAGCCAGUUGGCAGGGUAACGGCCUACCAAAGCGACGAUCAGUAGCCGAUCUGAGAGGAUGUACGGCCACAUUGGGACUGAGACACGGCCCAGACUCCUACGGGAGGCAGCAGUGGGGAAUAUUGCACAAUGGAGGAAACUCUGAUGCAGCGACGCCGCGUGAGUGAAGAAGUAUUUCGGUAUGUAAAGCUCUAUCAGCAGGGAAGAAAAUGACGGUACCUGACUAAGAAACACCGGCUAAAUACGU
rnacentral:rRNA from 1 species